UAAGAUAAAGAUAUAGAUUUAAAAAAAAUGUUAGAACGUUUCUAUACGUUUAAUUAACUUCCACGUACUUCCAUGUAUUUCCACGUAGUACACGUAUUUGUAAAUAUAUCGUCCUAUGCGAAAGGAACGUUUAAAAAAAAUUCUUCAAUUCCUCGAAAUACGUCGACCAAAGCUAAUAUUCGUAGAUAUUUUGAAGAACGCAAAACAUGAUUUCAUAAUAAUUACAUACAUAUGUAUAUACAAAAGCGAUAAGAACACGUUGUCCUUCAGAGAAAAAUAAAGUUAUUUACGUCCAUUCAAUACUAGCAAAAUAAACACGACAAGGUGAGUCAAAAAGUGUAACGCAAUUCUCAUUCGCAGUACUACACGCGUACUCGUCUCUUUCCGAAUGCUCAGUCAUCAAAGUAAGUCGGAAGAAGAAGGUCGAUCGAAUAGCAUUUUAGUCUUCAACUAUGGCCCCGGAGACUACUUUCUCCUUCGUGUUACCACUACAUGCUCUUCCAUUUAAUAUGCAUAGCAACGUGCAGACUUUAUCUUCUUACUAUAGCGAGCGAAUAAGUUAAUUUUGAAAAUAUCUGUAUAACAGUUAACUAUUCUUAAUAACCUAUUACAAUUCACAGAAAUUUUCUUAUUAAUAGAGAAAAUAAGUUUAAUAAUUUAAUUUAAUCUAAGAUACGUUUUAUAUGAAAUAAAUUAAAAAAGUUCUUCGCUGA